ACACACACACACACACACACACACACACACAGCAGCACAUCUACAGUAACGUAGGAGACACACACACACACACUCACAGCCCGGUUCUGGUUCUGGAGGAGAAUCAGGUUUUAGUCUCUCUGGGUUCUAAAUAGAUGCACCGAUGCAUUCACUUCCAAUACCGGUCCAUAUCUGAGGUGUCUGCCGAUAUUGAGCCAAUACCAAUAAAUAGUGCUAAAUUGACUUUAAACAUUUAAAAUUAAUAUUUGUUCAAAUGUUGCAAAGAUACAAAAAUCCUCUUCUGCAACAUAAAAUAUGAAAAUUAUCCUCACAUUUCUAUCAAUUGUAUUUAUCUAUUGUUAUUUAAAUAACUUUGAUUUAAAUAAAGAUAAUAGUAAACGGAGCUGUAGAAUCAGGCUAAGUGUCAAAAACAAGCAGCAGCUGCUUCCCUCCGUUCAGAGGAAUCGAAUUGUUCCUGAACGUCUCAACAAUGCUCAGCUAUGAUUUCCUCAAAUAAGCAUAAAUCAAUAACUAUAACAUGUUGGACGAUGUUUUUUCACCUGACAUAAUUAUUUUAUUUCAGGUGUUUAGAAGCAGUUGGUCAGCGCUGCUCAGUCAGAGUAGAGCCGUUAGCAUGAUGUGGAUCAUAAUCAUUUUCUGAAACAAUAAAAGUUCAGCAGCUCAUCCUGAGGAACUGAAUUCAUCCUGCCUGGUUUUGUUUCUUCAUGGUGGAUGUUUUCUCUGCUAACUGUUAGCAUGUAGCCUGAGUCAUGUGAUCAGGCUAAUUAGCCAUGUGCUAACUUCAAACUAAUAAUCAAUAAAGCUGUGAAGGCCUCCACACCAUCUGUUAGGAAAGGAAACGCAUCAAGGGUAUCGGCUUUUCAAAAUAAAGUAAAAUUUAAUGUUUCAAGAUACUUAAAUUUGUCUCAUUAUGGUUUAGAUAAGUGCAUAAAUAUAGGGGAUAUAUCUGUAAUAAUCAAUAAUCAAUCAAGUUUAUUAGUGCAGCACAUUUCAGCAUCAGGGAGGUUCAAAGAUCUUUACAUCAUAGAAACACAAAAAGCGUAGAUAUAAAUUUAUCUGAUACGCUUUGAACAUAGAAAUAAAACAACUUGAUUCAGAAGGUCUGGGGCUUUUAUUGUGGCGGGGCACAAAACAUAGAACUAGACCUCCUAGAUCAGCCUUAUGGACCAGCACACUGCCAUCGAUACUUGAUCUAGAAAUGUUUUUCUAUGUUGGGACCAA